CCAUAGACUACAACGAUCCUGAUGAAGAUGGAAAACAAGAUCUCGCUCUGGACCACACAGACACUGAGUCGUAUGAAAGGAUGACAGGGCCAGACUGUCUAUACAACAACAGACUUCACAGCAGCCCAUGGCACCACGGAGGACGAUUCAUAUGAGCAGAUGAAUGGAAUCCCAGUCUCGUUCCAGACAGAGAUGGAUGUGAAUGAAAGAGAUGCAGAGAAAUGGACAACUGCAGUCAAAUUGCAAUUAAAAGAGAGAAACUGAGAAUUUAUUUUAAAAAUGUAAACCUUGGAGAGCAGCUACUGGAUGAACGCUUAGAUAAUAAAUAGCCUAUAUCAAUUAUAUAAUUGUAAAAACAUUGUCUU